AAUAGUUUAAGAACGUAUUCUGUUAAUUUUCAAAGUUAAAAGUGUUUUAUAAAGAUUU
rnacentral:tRNA from 1 species